CUCCCGAGUGCUGGGAUUAAAGGCAUGUGCCACCACUGCCCGGCUGAAACUUUGCUUCUUGUUGUAUUUCAACUAUUGCAUUAUCCUGCAAGUUCCUUCAUCUUUCAUAACUAGUCGCUAAGUUCACACAUGUACAAAUUCAGAAUUGAGCUGGGGAUGUGCUAUAUGCCUCUAAUCCCAGGACUUAACACUGAACUUCAGACCAGUCUGGGCUAGGAAGCAGAACCCCUUGUCAGAAAACCAAAAGUAAAUAGAACAUUAUUGCUUAUCAUGUGUUCAAGUUCAGAAAUUACAAAUAAUGCCCCCUUCCCCAUGUCGGUCAUUACCACUUCAAAUACUUGCUACCUGGACCUUAUUCCCUCAGGGUGCCCAGCAGCUUUGUGAAUGUUGAGGGUUUGCCAUCUCCAGCUGAGAUCUGUUGUCCUGUGGAGAUUCUCCCAAGGCUUUUCCCUUGGGAAUCCUGGUAUUCUACCUGCUCCAGUAGGGCAUCACAGCUCUUGUGCCAAGCUGAUGUCUUAACUGUCAGCCCAUGGGGCUUGCUCAGCUGUAGAGGUGUGAGGAUAAGGUAUCUUAUGCCUCCUUGAAAAUGGAAGGCCUCCUGUGGCCCAUGUAAUUGGCCUGCCUCGCUUCAGCUACCUCUUAAAGCCCAUGUAGGGGUUACAGCUGUUGAGUCUCAGCACGGUAGGCUAGGAGGCUGUAAUGUUUCUGUAGAAACUUGGCUAUUAGCUCCAUUUCUAGGCACCCAGGGCAAUGUCUAGAUGGUAAUCUCUUCUUUUCCACUGACCAAAUCAACAGUUAUUACAGCUGCUCUGCUUUCCAAAGUCAGCCCAGGGGCCUGGGCCAGCUGCAAGAAGGUGGCCUAUCUGUGAGUGAGGGCCAGUACCUUCCUCACUUGGGUGAGUCCCAUGCUCAUGACCUCAUUUUAGGACCAAGAUCUGUGUUGGUUUGUAAGAUUGUUAGCUUUUUCUCUAGAGGACCACAGUGGGUGAGACCCUUGGCUGUAUCAGCAGUACUAUUUAGGUCCUUGUCCAGUUGAGAGCUUCAUGUACACCAUGUCAGCAGCACUUCUUAUGUUUUUCAUGAGGUUUUAGAUCGUGGAUGUGGCUCAGGCACUUUCUGUGAGAAGCCCUCCCCAAUCUCCGCCUUGUUAGUCCUACUGAGGGCUGACCAGAGGUCAUUGGCGCUGCCCAGGUGUCUGCAGGGGGGCUGGGCUGCUGAGUGCUGCUCUAGCCCUCCCACCUUAAUAGCAGGGGUGGAUCCCCAGGCCCCUGACUGCCCCUCUUGACCAGCCUGGGAUAGGAGGGCUGCCUCUGUCCCCUAACUGUUCCUUUUGCCACCCACACUUGUUUGAGGUCGUGCUGACAGCUUUCUGUUGUUGUUUUUGUUUUCUUCUUCCCUUCCCAGUCUACUUUUCGUAUUCACAACAGCCAGGGACUUGAUACUGAUGUAUUUUACACCACAUUAAAUAGUCUAUUGCCUUACUUGUAUCUCUGCUGAUCGGAUCGUUGGAUGUUUCUGGAUCCAUCUAGUCCUCUCCAUUGUUAUAGACUUGUCUGGAUCAGCAAAGUGGCCAUGGCAGUGUCCUGGCAUCCUGCAUAUUCCAGAAUGUCCUGCCUUCUACUGGCCACUUCAAGUUCAGGACCCAGACGGAUUACUUGCUUGAACUGUUUUCUCUUGCAUGGAACAUCAAAGGACUUUUAAGUACAUUUUUUUUAAUUUUAGUAUGGUGUGGUGUGCACCUGUAAGCCCAGCACAGAAAGGCUGAGGCAUGAUUGCUGAGUUUAGGGCUACCUUGUACUAUGUCAGCUAGGGUUAUAUACUGAAGCUCUGUCUCAACAGAGGGAUGUAGAUGUGCCCUUAAUCCAAGGGAAAGGCAGGAGGGUCUGCAUGUAGUGUUCCAGGGUGCCAUAGUGGUUCCUUGUCUCACAGAGAAAGUGGGGUAGAGGGGUAGCUGCCAAGGGCUCACUAGAUGCAGUUGCUCUGUCCCUUGGACCCACAUGGAGAGGAUGCACCCCAAGUUGUCUGUGGUUCUCUAAGCACGUCUUCACACAGCCACGUGUGUGCAUACAGUAAAUAGAUAUGGUUUUUCAAUAAUUAGUAGCUAGAGGGAAGGUUCUUUUAAAGUAGGGGAGGCCCUGAAAAGGACAGAAGUUUAAUGACCUCAUUUAAUAAUUAGUUGAACCUGGCAUCGCAGAAUAUGUCUUUAAUCCCAGAGGUACAGUCAGGCAGAUCUCUUGUUGAGUUCAAGGCCAUCUUAGUCUACAUACCAAAUUUCAGCCUAGCCAUGGAUAAUGAGACCUUGUCUCAAAAAGAUAAAUAAAUAAAAAAUUUCCCUAUGGACAUUUUCCAAGGUGUUUAGGAGGGUGGGGGAAAGAUGAGGUUUAUGCCUGGAGUUGAGGUGUCAUCCUAGGGAAUUUGAACCAGACCUAGAGGGCAGGAAGAACCCACUGAAGGAAGAUGUUCAAACAGAGCUGAGGAAGGGGUAAGUUAUCAGGUCUGUGCCAUUGACAACCUAUUAUUGGCCUUCCUCAGGGGAGUGCACGAGGACUUUGGGGUUCCUUAAUUCAGCUGCUUUCCUGUAGGAGAGAACCUACUGGUGGCAUCACCCAGUGUCUGUCUGUGGUUAGACAGAAAAAAAUGUAAGUGUUCAACACCAACUUUAUAGAAGCUUUACUAGCCACCUCCCUGGCCCAGAAGGGCCUUACCUUGGCCCCUUCUAGACAGGAGGUGGUAGACUAGUAAUAUUCCAUGCAUACCGCACACCACAUUGGUUCCAAGAAUCUCCAGAAUGGUGGAGGGGUUCUUUCCUGCUCCAAGCAAAGCAGCUCUGCCAAAACUUCUGGCUCCUCGGGAAGGGGCUGAAGGUGGGAACCCUAGAGGUGCUUCUGGGCCCUCUGCUGCUUUGAUGGAGGAGCCUGGCGGCACUCUGGCAGCUCUUGUAGGAGAGGAAAGGGGCAUCCCAUUGUCCUCUCCCUCUGGCCCACAGUUCAGAAGUCUUGAAUUAAUGUCCCUUCCUAGAGUGGUCUGGGUGUUUGAAGCACCUGGGAAAGAUUCUUACGUUGGUGUCUCCAGAAGGAACACCUCUGGGUCCCCAGCAGCCAGUGGCCCAGGUCAGGGGAGCUUGUUGUUGCUAAGGGGAAGCUGAAUGUGUUGCCUAGGUCUGGGCAGCCUGGCCUGGGUGCUACUCUCCUGUGGCAUUGGAUGCUGCUGUGGAGGACUGAGCCAGGAGCUCUGCCAGGUCUUUAAAUAGAUGCCUCAGUAGUGGAGCCUCCCUCCUGGCCAGCAGUACACACAACAGUUCUGGGUCAGGCUCCUUCAAGAGCUCAGGUUGCCAGGUCUCCCGCUGACCCUGGUUCUCCCUCCAUAGGAGGUGGGGAGAGGCCCUAUCGGUUGGUUCAUCUGCACUUACCAGCUAGGAGUGUCUGGAUAUGAUGGACAGUGAUACUGCCCAGGGAUGAGUGAAGCUUGGUUCUUUUCAAUGAAAUCGGGAUAAUAAUUAUGUCUCAGGACUAUAAGGAUUAAAUAUACAUGAAAGGCUUAACAGGGCGCUUGGAUACAUGCCUGUCUGUUUCUUCUGUUGGCUGCUGCUUAUCUUUUAUACUUACAUAUUGCCUAUACUGACACGUUGAUUUAUUCCCAUCACCCGCCUCCUGCACACAAAGCCACCACCAUUUUGUAAGGGAUUUCCUCCAAACAUUGUAAGGAAUGGAAAGUAUUUUAAAUCCAUAUCCCGCAACUAACAGAAUCCCCUUAGUUCAUAGGGUAAGAAAAACUAUUAGUAGACAUGAGGACUUUCCUCCCGUUCAGCUCCCUGUGAACCCAAAGAGGGCUACUUUCUCUUUAAAUGCAAAUCACCUCCAGCCAGCUUAGCUCCCACGAGCUCUAGCUCCACGGAGGAGAGAGAAAGCAAGGCAGAGAGAGAUCACAAAGAAGCACCAUUCCUCACUCCAGACCCCAAACCUCCAGGCCUAAGGUCCAACAAGCACCCCAUGGAUGACAAAAAGAAGAAACGGAGUCCUAAGCCCUGCCUGGCCCAGCCAGCACAGGCCCCAGGCACGCUACGGAGAGUCCCUGUGCCCACCAGCCACAGUGGCUCCUUAGCCCUGGGACUCCCUCAUCUGCCAUCACCCAAGCAGCGAACCAAGUUCAAGAGAGUAGGCAAGGAGAAAUGCCGACCAGUGCUGGCUGGAGGUGGGGGCGGCUCUGCAGGCACACCCCUGCAACACUCCUUCCUGACCGAAGUGACAGAUGUCUACGAGAUGGAGGGGGGGCUGCUGAGCCUGCUCAGUGACUUUCAUUCAGGCCGUCUGCAGGCCUUUGGGAAGGAAUGCUCCUUCGAGCAGUUGGAGCAUGUGCGGGAGAUGCAGGAGAAGUUGGCCAGACUGCACUUCAGCCUGGAUGUGUGUGGGGAGGAGGAGGACGAGGAAGAAGACGAUGGGGUCACAGAGGGCUUGCCUGAAGAGCAGAAGAAGACAAUGGCCGACCGCAACCUGGACCAGCUGCUUAGCAAUGUGGGUCAGAAAGCUGGCUAUUUUGGAUCCUCGGGACACCAAGGGUGGAGAGGGCACAGGCUCCCAAGUCUCCCAGUGAAAAGUUGGGGUACAUGAACCCAAGAGCUGUGAGUUCCUCAAGCUGAACUAGUAGGGCUUUCCCCCUAACAUCCACGUUUGCUCUGGGUCCCCUCCUGACAUGACUCUCCUUUUCUCUCUAUUGACAGCUAGAAGAUCUUAGCAAUUCCAUACAGAAGCUGCACUUGGCAGAGAAUGCUGAGCCUGAGGAGCAGCCCGCAUC